CCUACGGGAGGCAGCAGUGGGGAAUAUUGCACAAUGGGGGAAACCCUGAUGCAGCGACGCCGCGUGAGUGAAGAAGUAUUUCGGUAUGUAAAGCUCUAUCAGCAGGGAAGAAAAUGACGGUACCUGACUAAUUAGCCCCGGCUAACUACGUGCCAGCAGCCGCGGUAAUACGGAGGAUUCAAGCGUUAUCCGGAUUUAGUGGGUUUAAAGGGUGCGUAGGCGGUUUUGUAAGUUAGUGGUGAAAUCCUGGGGCUCAACCCCAGCACUGCUUUUGAGACUGUCAGGCUGGAGUUAAGUAGAGGUAAGCGGAAGUCAUGGUGUAGCGGUGAAAUGCGUAGAUAUCAGGAAGAACACCGAUGGCGAAGGCAGCUUACCAGACUGCGACUGACGUUGAGGCACGAAAGCGUGGGGAGCAAACAGGAUUAGAUACCCGAGUAGUC
rnacentral:rRNA from 1 species